rnacentral:rRNA from 1 species
GACGAACGCUGGCGGCGUGCUUAACACAUGCAAGUCGAACGGAAAGGCCCUGCUUUUGUGGGGUGCUCGAGCGGCGAACGGGUGAGUAACACGUGAGUAACCUGCCCUUGACUUUGGGAUAACUUCAGGAAACUGGGGCUAAUACCGGAUAGGAGCUCCUGCUGCAUGGUGGGGGUUGGAAAGUUUCGGCGGUUGGGGAUGGACUCGCGGCUUAUCAGCUUGUUGGUGGGGUAGUGGCUUACCAAGGCUUUGACGGGUAGCCGGCCUGAGAGGGUGACCGACCACAUUGGGACUGAGAUACGGCCCAGACUCCUACGGGAGGCAGCAGUGGGGAAUAUUGCACAAUGGGCGGAAGCCUGAUGCAGCAACGCCGCGUGCGGGAUGACGGCUUUCGGGUUGUAAACCGCUUUCGCCUGUGACGAAGCGUGAGUGACGGUAAUGGGUAAAGAAGCACCGGCUAACUACGUG